GAAACGGACACAAAGCUGGCGAGCGACAGAAUAUGGACAAGUGCAAGACGUACUAUUCUCACGCUAUCUAUUAGCCGACUGCGGCGUGCAGACCCUCAUCCGGAGUCAUUGCUGUUCGUUCAGGAGUCACUCAGUGGCACGGCAGAGAAAGCCACGAGCGAUGCGGAUGGCGUAGCAAAUCUGCUGAAGGAGGCAGUAAGAAACCCCGUCCAGCCGUUAAGCCAAAGCCAGUGGCUGGUUCUCGUCCUGCACACCUACGACAGCAAAUAUCCAAACCUGAAGAAGAGGUAGUGGAACCACCGUCGUCUUUUGAAAAGGACCCAAUACCAGGAUCAAUGGUACGUACUCUACUUCGUCGAGCACCCGGUCCGACAGGAAGACGCUUGCCAACUCGGCGUGGCACGGCUGCCAAGUCAGACUCUCUCUUUGUCAUGUAAUGUAUCAGAGAGGCUGGAACACUGAAACCGUCAAGUUGGAGGAGCUUUGAGAACUGCAAUAGAGUAUACCGAAAUUAUCAGUAAGUUGGUGAAAUCAAGGACUAACUUAGCUGUGCACUACACUGGUCUGGCAUGGUGCUGUUGCUGCUACAGUGUAGUAGUGGCGUACUGCACUGCGCUGGUUAGGCGAACACGGUGAUCCUGCUAGUUGUGUACUGCACUGCGCUGGUUAGGCUAACGUGGAGAUCCUGCUCAAGACCGGGGCGCUCUUGCUAGCCUCCAUGUUGCUGUUGUUCCCGGUCUUGGAAUCAGCUAACAGUUAUCAGCUAUGCGUGGUACUUGUGUGUCAUAUCUACUAGAUGUUCUGAUUUUGGCAAGUGAUUCUUUCCCCGCCCCCCCACCCCCUUUUGCUUUCAGAAUAUUAUUAAUUCUUACAAAAUAAAACUGUUGUGCCGUAGGUAGUAUGUGCUGCAACAGUACGUCUAUUAUAUUACGAUUUGGAAAGUCUUGAAUUAUCGUUUCAUAGCCCCGUUCCUGAAGAUCGUUGACAUUGUGGAAUUACUCCCCUUUUUUAAGCAUUUUCCUUCUACUCUGAUUACUGCAUUUUGGUGAAUGGUGUGCAUAUCAAUGUUAUGCUGUUUGCAUAGUGCACAGUUAUUCCAUCACACUCUACAUGAUAGAUGUAUGGACUGUGAAUAGGCGUAGCAGCGUGCACUAAUGUGCCUGCUGCUGCUGCACCCUAGCAUCCUGCACACUGUGGUAGCACUCAAGACCGUGAAUGUCAUUCUGCUAUUAAUAAACCAGUAUGUACACACACGUGGAAAUGACAUCGUGCUGUUGAUCCACCGUUGUCUUUGUCAUAUUCCAGUGGUAUGCAGCUGCACUCAGUCUUUCACUUACUUCUCAUUGUUAUGUAGACCGCCCUUUCCCUAGUUAUGCUUUUAGCUCCUUUCAAGUCAAUCAUUAUAAUAAUUAUGUAUGGCUACUUUUUUACACCGUUGAUGCAGAUCAUGAUUUUUAAUUCAGUGACAUUUCAGUCUCUUGAAUA